GUUUAUUUCGGAUUACUUUUUAUUCAUAUAAUGGAUUGGUAUGCUACACGAGAAAAAUAACACACUGAAGAUCCAAUAUCGUACUAGGCAAAAAUAACUCGCUUCGGAUAGUAGUUCAAAAACGACCCAUAAUCAUGUAUCAUCGUGGCUUAAGAUCACUAGAUAUGACCAGGGUGAGCUUUUGAAAGGAGUCGAGCACACAAAAAGUCAACAGACUUAUCAAGCAUAUUUACCUAGUAAAUAUAUGAUACGAGGAUAAACGUUACGCAUUCAGAACGGGCAUGAAUCGUAUAAAACACAGGCCUUUUUAAUUCACGUAUGUAGGAUAAUAUAGCUUGCACAAACACAAAAUACAUCAAACCAAACAUAGGUUUUACCUUUGACAUAUUUUUGUAAGCGUUGCCAAACCCAAUACAAGCAUGUUUGCAAAACAGACAUUGGCAAUCGGAAGACUUGAAACUUUAUUUAACUAUCUGAAUCAGCAUAUCAAUGUGAGAGGGUUUCACGAUAGAAAGGACUGACAUAGACAUUUUUGUGGAAAUUACAACAUUAAUUCUUAACAAUGGAGUCUUCAUCGGACGAAAAAAUUCCACAGGAAACCACAAAAAGAUACCAAGUUUGCAAAUGCGCAGCUACGAAGUCAUGCAGUUGUUCAAAAGUCAGCAACUCAAAAUCUGAGGGUUGUCAUUCUCUAUCUUCCACUAAAGUCUCAUCAAGCAGGUCUGACUGCUGUACGAAUUGUACUUGUGAUCCACAACUGUGCGCUUGUGAAGGAUGUUUUCAUCGACUUUGACGUGAUUGCUAUUUUAUGUAAAGCUGUUUGGUAUAUUGUUGCAAUAAUGUAAUUGGUAACUAAGUUUAUGCUGGUGUGUGUUGUGUGAAAAUUUUUUUAAGGGGCCGUGGUAUAUUAAGCUACAUUGUAUUUUUUAUUGACAACUGAAAACAAGCAAACAGGAAGGAUAUAUUUUUUGAGGACUCCUUCUUUCUGACAUGCCAGAGUGAGAGAUUUUUGAGAUACAAUGUUAUUAACUCUUUUUUCCACAGUUACUCAAAUAAGAGCAUAUUCUUUUUUUUCAUGCCAUUAGAAUCUUUCUUGUGAUGAAAUUCGUUUAUUAUCAAUGUAAUUAGUUUGAAAACUGGGUCUUUCACAGCGAGACACAGAUUUUAAAUAUCUUAUCAAAACUAAAUUACAAGAAAUGUUUUGCAUAUAUAUCUAGAAGAGAAGCCAUUCAUGAGCAAAUGUAUAGCCGAAACCGUCAUCAGGUGUAGAGUUGUUGUCGAAAAUACAUAUCGCCUACCAUAAUAAAAUACACUAUCAGACUUUAAAUAAAUGUAAUACUAGAAACACAUGCGCUCUCAGAAUUUAUUUAGUGGUACAUUUAUCCAAAUUCAAACUGUAAAUCACACAG